rnacentral:lncRNA from 1 species
GAUAUGGAGGAGUCCUUCUCUCAGAAAGACUUCGUCGUUUGGGUGCAAACAUCAGAUAUGUGAAGACCCUCUUCAUGUGUAAUAAGGGAUGCACAAAAUCUCCUAUCUUUUACAUGGAGAUUUCACUUGGCGACCUACACUUGGAUGCCACAAAUCUUGCAUGAGGCAUGAGAAAUCUUUUUUUGAAAAAAAAAGAUUCCUUCUAAGGCAUAUCAAAUCCU